AACGAUAAAGCUUUAUUUUCGAAGUGUUUAAACAAUUGAAGUGAUGAUAAGUGAUAAGUGAGAAGGAAAUAUCAAAUCGCACGAAGUACGAAAUUUUAUUUCGGUUAACAAAGAACGUUUGAAUUAUCAUUUCCACGUUUUCUCCAAUGGAAUAGUCUCUACGUUGCAGCAUUUCUUUUUCGUAGCGACUUUUUCGGUCGCUGCCUCGAAGUUUCCGGUGACGUAAUUCCGUUUGUUUCCGACCCGCCUCGGUACAUAUUGCUUUUACUUCUGCGCCCGUAAAUUCACCUUCUUUCCAAAAUAGAGCUUCACCAAUCCAAACUCCGAGAGUCUGAAAUUCUGGUUAAUCCAAAUGACCAAAAACUACCUGGAUCUCUCUCUUUCUUCCAACAAACUACAUGACUGUCACACUUACCUGACACUGCCAGGAAUAUGUGGCAUUCCCUACAUUGCUUGUUAAAGAAGAAUUGUUUUUACAAGCACUGCAAGUCUGAAAUGACACGGAUUGAAAGAGAAGAGUUCAUUGAAUUACAGAGAAAUAAUAAUAGAAGAAUUGAGUAUAUCAAAAUCCUUUAGAUAAAAUUUUAUUCAACAAUCUGUAGAUAAUUUUUAUCAUUAAAACUCAAUAAAACAUAUACAACAUACAAAAGAGGUAUUAAAGGAGUACUAUGCAAGUGAAUGCAUACUGCUCAGCCGUUUAAAUUAAAAAUAAUCCAGCAACAAGUUGCUU